rnacentral:piRNA from 4 species
CACGGCCGGUACAGUGAAACUGCGAAUG